UCCUCCCUCUUUCUUCGUGCCUAAUACAUGCAAGUUGAGCGAUGAAGAUUGGUGCUUGCACCAAUUUGAAGAGCAGCGAACGGGUGAGUAACGCGUGGGGAAUCUGCCUUUGAGCGGGGGACAACAUUUGGAAACGAAUGCUAAUACCGCAUAACAACUUUAAACAUAAGUUUUAAGUUUGAAAGAUGCAAUUGCAUCACUCAAAGAUGAUCCCGCGUUGUAUUAGCUAGUUGGUGAGGUAAAGGCUCACCAAGGCGAUGAUACAUAGCCGACCUGAGAGGGUGAUCGGCCACAUUGGGACUGAGACACGGCCCAAACUCCUACGGGAGGCAGCAGUAGGGAAUCUUCGGCAAUGGACGAAAGUCUGACCGAGCAACGCCGCGUGAGUGAAGAAGGUUUUCGGAUCGUAAAACUCUGUUGGUAGAGAAGAACGUUGGUGAGAGUGGAAAGCUCAUCAAGUGACGGUAACUACCCAGAAAGGGACGGCUAACUACGUG
rnacentral:rRNA from 1 species